rnacentral:rRNA from 1 species
CCUGCGCGCGGCCAAUGGUCGUCCUCCGGAACACCAAAGGCGCAAAAAACAUAACUUGAGUUGUGCGGGAUUACGGGCGCGGCUCUCUGCAGCGUCCCUCCAUCCCCGGGUGUUGUAACCGGCAUGCGGUGUGGUCCCUCGGGGCCGUCACCGUGCCACAACAUACCGUGAGUGUGCAGGAUGUGACCCGAAAGAUGGUGAACUAUGCCUGAUCAGGUUGAAGUCAGGGGAAACCCUGAUGGAGGACCGAAGCAGUUCUGACGUGCAAAUCGAUUGUCAGAAUUGGGCAUAGGGGCGAAAGACCAAUCGAACCAUCUAGUAGCUGGUUUCCUUCCGAAA